AUUUUGCUUGGGAUUCUUAUGUACCUGAGGCUUUUUAAAGUCUGAACGGGACUCCCUUCAUUCCAAAAUGAACAGCCUUCAACCUCAACAAGGCACCCUCCAGUCUGAGCAAGACGCCUGCCAGUCCAAGUGAGACACCCUCCGCUCUGAGAGGAACAUCCUCAAGUAUGAAUGGGAUGCACCUUCGACCUGAGCGUGACAGCUUCCAGUUCACAAUAUUCAGUCUCCAAACUGAACUAAACAACAUUCAGACUCAUAGAGUCAUGCUCAAAUCUGAACUAAAUACCCUCAAUACCCUGGAGAGUGAGAGCAUCAGAACUGACCAACCUGAUAAACCACAGGAGGCACCAGAAUUGAUGUCAGUUCUCCCUGUAAGAGGAUAGAAAAUGAAACGAAUCUCAACUCACCUAGAACAGAAGAAAGAGGAGGAGGAGAAAGUAGAGAUGGCAGUCAUUGUAAGGGGAGAGGAGGAAAGAGGUCCAGAGGAGUGGCUUCAAGAUCCAGGGCAUCCUGAGGAAGAGCUGAGACCCCCCAAUAAGAUCGCAGUCACCAACACCCAGGAGAGGGCAACAAAAGUCCAGAAAGAGUAGGAGAUGAGCAAGACAUGGUUACCAUUACUGAUUGAUCUCUGAAAAUGAAUGAAAUUCGAGGUCUAAGAAAAGACUUCUCAUGCCACCCAAAUGAGCCUAUUGUCAUCUGGUUACUUUGAUGUUGGGACAAUGGGGCCAACACUGUGUAGCUAGAUAGUAGAGAAGCUCACCAACUGGGUGGCAUUACUAGGGACUCAGCCAUUGACAGAGGUAUUAGUACAUGCCAGAAUGGGUCCUUCACCCUCUUGAAACAAAUGCUGUUAGUCAUAAAAGAAAAAAAAAAAACCUCUUCAAAGAUGAUCUGAUGUCUGAGAAAAAGAAAUGAACUGAUAUGGAAAAAGGCAUCUGUUAUUUGAAAGAAUACACUGUGGAAGAAAUGUUACUGUGCAAUUAACAAAUGUAUAGUUAGAAAAGUAAUGUGAUUAAGAUAAAAUUUUAAAGGCUUAUAGUUACAAAGAUCAUUGUGGUGGAAAAAGA
ensembl:lncRNA